CAUCCGAGCCCCCCUUUCAUCCCUCGAGCUUAUUUAGCCCCGCAUCGCUGCAAUAUUUCGCUUCCUAUGUGUGCGCGUCGAAGGCUAGACUUUAGGACCUUCUUAUCCCAUACCAGACGGUGGUUGAUUUCCUGCUGUAAAAACCGAAACGGGGGAUUAUCCUCCCGCCGUCUCCGACCUGGAGGUAAUCUUUCUCCCGAUCUUAAAUAACGAACAAAAAUUUUUCUAGGGAUAUAUUCGACGGUAGGACUAGACACUAUUUUAUCGUUACUUUGCCAAAAAAGUAAAACUUUGUAAGUAAUCUUACAAGUAAAUGGACCAAACGUGUUUUCCAAAUGGAAUGUCGAGAUAAGGGUGAAACUAAACCGUUUAAGUUACAUUUCUUUAAUUGAAUUGUUGGAUUUCUUAAGUAAUCUUGGAAUAAUUUUUUUUUUGUGAAUUGAAAAACAUUAUGCAUCAUGUACAAAUGUAAACUACGGAAUUUGAAAUAAAACCGACCGCUCCGCAUAGCAGUAAUGAAUUUUUCACCGUAUCCGUAGUAACCGCGCGUACAAAUCCAUAUGAAAGGCGAUGCAGCAGUCUGCAACAGUCUGCAAUACACACACAUACGAAAGUAUAGUGUACACGCCCACGGAGAUCAGGCCGACGGUUUGGGUUUUGGUGCAGGCGCAGAUUCGCAACGACCUCUUGGACCUUCUGCAGAUCCCCGAUAAACAUUAACCAGACGAUUCGAUCGUGUGUCACCCUAUCGAUAUGUUUAUUAUAACUUCACCGGCACGGUUUUAUUUAUCAUUAUUACGGCUAUUACGAAGAAUCAGGAUAAAUCGAUAUCACGUCAGAAACUCCGACGUCUAACUUGACUCUUACAAAGUGGAAUUUACAGCCAUUAUGUUUCUUAAGGAACACUGAAAAUGAUAUUUGAAGAGUCGAUGUAAAAUGAAGAAAGAAAAUUUCAGUAUCUUUAACAUCCUCUCAUCUUUUUGCUUAACACGGUGCGUGUGGUGGAUUAAAAGGGUGGCGCAGAAGGAUGGUGGAGGGCGUCGCGACGCCGGGUUCGUAGGGUGACUACGGCAGAGGAGUGUGGGGAGGGGAUAUUGACCUCGACGCGAUCGAUACGACCGUCUGGCGGGACCGACGCCGCCGACGGGCGUACGUAGAGCGUCGCGGCGGCGUCAAUGAAUGACGUCACGGCGGCGGUUGCGGCGACAGCAGCGGGUGUAUCGACAUACACCACGCCCUUCCUUUGCGACAUUUUCGCCCAACAGAAAUAAAUACAGGAUCGGAUUAAAAAAAAUGUUUAUAACUCGAUAGAAAGAAAUAUCGUUUUAGCAACAACACAGUGGGGUCGCAGAGAGUAGUAAUUGUAGCCUAAAUAAAGUUCGUACAAAAAUGAAAAAGUUUCUCACUAUUUGUAUGAAUGGAAAUUUUAAAAUUGCGGUGGUGACAAUCACUGCCUACAACGUUUUCGUUUUAUAGUUUUUAGCCUACGUCGUCGUACUAUUCACAUUGAAACCGUCUAAUGUAAGAGGGGAAAUACGUGAUGUAGUACUACGUCGACGUACUAUGAAUACAUUUUAUGAAUAGGUUGAGGACGAUUGAUUUUUGUCUUUUUUAAAGAACACUUUUUGUUAAUGAGUACGUAAAAUAUUCUUAUCGGUAUUUGGAUCACCCCAGGGAAAUUUAUGGGCACUUUUCGGCUCUUUACAUUACCGGUUCAUCGCCUCUUACGCCGCUAAAAGUGAACUGCUCCGGAAAUUCCAACAAUUUCAAGAGGCUACCCAGAGGUGGCUUUAUUCGAGCGCAUUGAACUUCAUUCUUCGACGUUCUUUAGACUUUACUCUCACAUCAAAUACUGUAAUACGUCAGCAAUUAAAGGAUACGUUCCAGUUUGUAACCAACAUAAAUUUUCAUAAAACUACUGUUCGUUUAAAAAUAACGCAAAAUUUUACAAUUUACAAUGUGGAGAAAAUAUUUUUAUCAAGCAUAAUAUAACUGUUAGGUCAAGGGCUGAAAUAAUUCAAUUUUGUACCAACACUGCGCACGCGAUGGUUAAGAAGAAACGAUUUGUGAGAAAUAAAUCGAAUAGUUAUCAUUCUUUGCUAGUAAUUUACGAAAUGCUUCUAGUUCCUGUUUUAACCCAUUUGACUUCCAUUUAGAAUCAAUUUCACAAUCACAUUUCAGCGAAAUUGCGACCUCGGCAAUUUGAAGCAAUCGAUAUAACGUUCCUGAUAUAUCUUGGUAGAGAUACAAAAUUUAUUAUAAUUAGAUAUUUACCCUCAAACCGUCAAAGUCGUUUCCGGGCUCCAAAGUUGACAAUUACGUGUCACCACAAAUCGUCAGCUUUGGAAGCUUCUAGUCUAGCUUCUAAUCGUUGCUGAUAUAUCUUGGUGGAGAUACAAAAUCUAUUAUAAGAAGAUAUUUAUGCUCUAAUCAUCGAGGUCGCUUUCGGGCGAGGUGCUAGAAUUUUCCGAAACUGAUGAUUUUGUGUUGAUGUAUCAAAUGUAGCGUCUCGGCCGGAAGCAAUAUUAUAUAUCUUGGUGUUGAUACAAAAUCUCUUACAAGAAAAUAUAUUAUAAUAAAAAUAAAUUUAGUGAUGU
rnacentral:lncRNA from 1 species